UGUGGCAGAUUAGUGCAAUGAAUUUAAGCUUCAUAYAUAAAGCCACAACUUUUAUUAGAAA
rnacentral:tRNA from 1 species